rnacentral:rRNA from 1 species
CCUACGGGAGGCAGCAGUAGGGAAUCUUCCACAAUGGAAGAAAGUCUGAUGGAGCAACGCCGCGUGAGUGAAGAAGGGUUUAGGGUCGUAAAGCCCUGUUGGUAGUGAAGAAAGAUAGAGGUAGUAACUGGCCUUUAUUUGACGGUAAUUACUUAGAAAGUCACGGAUAACUGCGUGCCAGCAGCCGCGGUAAUACGUAGGUGGCAAGCGUUGUCCGGAUUUAUUGGGCGUAAAGCGAGUGCAGGCGGUUCAAUAAGUCUGAUGUGAAAGCCUUCGGCUCAACCGGAGAAUUGCAGCAGAAACUGUUGGACUUGAGUGCAGAAGAGGAGCGUGGAACUCCAGGUGUAGCGGUGGAAUGCGUAGAUAUAUGGAAGAACACCAGUGGCGAAGGCGGCUCUCUGGUCUGCGACUGACGCUGAGGCUCGAAAGCAUGGGUAGCGAACAGGAUUAGAUACCCUGGUAGUC